GACGCGCAUGAAUGGAUU
rnacentral:snRNA from 1 species